rnacentral:rRNA from 1 species
GACGAACGCUGGCGGCGUGCUUAACACAUGCAAGUUGAACGGAAAGGCCCUGCUUGCAGGGCACUCGAGGGGCGCACGGGUGUGUAACACGUGGGUGAUCCGCCCUGCUCUUCGGCAUACGCCUGGUAAACUGGGUCUAAUACCCGAUAGGAGCCAAUUUUAGUGUGAUGGUUGGAAAGUUUUUUCGGUGUCGGCUGUGUUCGCGGCCUAUCAGCUUGUUGGUGGGGUAAUGGCCUACCACGGCGGCGUCGGGUAGCCGGCCUGGGAGGGUGGACGGCCACCUCGGGCCUGAGAAACGGCCCACUCUCCAGCGGGAGGCAGCAGAGGGGCAUAUUACCAUAUGGGUGCAAGCCUGAUGACGAGACUGUGCGUGGGGGAUGACGGCCUUCGGGUUGUAAGCUCCUUUCGAUAGGGACUAAGCUUUUUAUGACGGUACCUAGAUGAGAAGCACCGGCUAACUACGUG